rnacentral:rRNA from 1 species
UACGUAGGGUGCGAGCGUUGUCCGGAAUUAUUGGGCGUAAAGGGCUCGUAGGCGGUCUGUCGCGUCGGUAGUGAAAACUCAGGGCUUAACCCUGAGCCUGCUUCCGAUACGGGCAGACUAGAGGUAUGCAGGGGAGAAUGGAAUUCCUGGUGUAGCGGUGAAAUGCGCAGAUAUCAGGAGGAACACCAGUGGCGAAGGCGGUUCUCUGGGCAUUACCUGACGCUGAGGAGCGAAAGCAUGGGGAGCAAACAGG